CCCGGCUUACCAACCCGAUGCAAACUGCGAAUACCGGAGAAUGUUAUCACGGGAGACACACGGCGGGUGCUAACGUCCGUCGUGAAGAGGGAAACAACCCAGACCGCCAGCUAAGGUCCCAAAGUCAUGGUUAAGUGGGAAACGAUGUGGGAAGGCCCAGACAGCCAGGAUGUUGGCUUAGAAGCAGCCAUCAUUUAAAGAAAGCGUAAUAGCUCACUGGUCGAGUCGGCCUGCGCGGAAGAUGUAACGGGGCUAAACCAUGCACCGAAGCUGCGGCAGCGACGCUGAUGCGUUGUUGGGUAGGGGAGCGUUCUGUAAGCCUGCGAAGGUGGCCUGUGAGGGUUGCUGGAGGUAUCAGAAGUGCGAAUGCUGACAUAAGUAACGAUAAAGCGGGUGAAAAGCCCGCUCGCCGGAAGACCAAGGGUUCCUGUCCAACGUUAAUCGGGGCAGGGUGAGUCGACCCCUAAGGCGAGGCCGAAAGGCGUAGUCGAUGGGAAACGGGUUAAUAUUCCCGUACUUGGUGUUACUGCGAAGGGGGGACGGAGAAGGCUAUGUUGGCCGGGCGACGGUU
rnacentral:rRNA from 2 species